GGUGGAGAUUAUAACAGAACAUGGCCAAGAUGUUCAAAUGUUCAUAAAUGACCAGCAUGGUCGAAUAAUAAUAAGGCAGAACAGUUGAAACUGGAGCAGCAGCACAGUCAGGUAGACUGGGGACAGCAAGGAGUCAUCAUGUCAGGUAGUCCUGGGGCAUGGUCCUAGGGCUCAGGUCCUCCGAGAGAGAGAAAGAAAGAGAGAAGGAGAGAAUCAGAGAACGCACACUUAGAUUCACACAGGACACCGAAUAGGACAGGAGAAGUACUCCAGAUAUAACAAACUGACCCCAGCCCCCCGACACAUAAACUACUGCAGCAUAAAUACUGGAGGCUGAGACAGGAGGGG
ensembl:lncRNA